CCAGAGUUUUGAUCAUGGCUCAGGACGAACGCUGGCGGCGUGCCUAAUACAUGCAAGUCGAGCGGACAGAAGGGAGCUUGCUCCCGGAUGUUAGCGGCGGACGGGUGAGUAACACGUGGGUAACCUGCCUGUAAGACUGGGAUAACUCCGGGAAACCGGAGCUAAUACCGGAUAGUUCCUUGAACCGCAUGGUUCAAGGAUGAAAGACGGUUUCGGCUGUCACUUACAGAUGGACCCGCGGCGCAUUAGCUAGUUGGUGAGGUAACGGCUCACCAAGGCGACGAUGCGUAGCCGACCUGAGAGGGUGAUCGGCCACACUGGGACUGAGACACGGCCCAGACUCCUACGGGAGGCAGCAGUAGGGAAUCUUCCGCAAUGGACGAAAGUCUGACGGAGCAACGCCGCGUGAGUGAUGAAGGUUUUCGGAUCGUAAAGCUCUGUUGUUAGGGAAGAACAAGUGCAAGAGUAACUGCUUGCACCUUGACGGUACCUAACCAGAAAGCCACGGCUAACUACGUGCCAGCAGCCGCGGUAAUACGUAGGUGGCAAGCGUUGUCCGGAAUUAUUGGGCGUAAAGGGCUCGCAGGCGGUUUCUUAAGUCUGAUGUGAAAGCCCCCGGCUCAACCGGGGAGGGUCAUUGGAAACUGGGAAACUUGAGUGCAGAAGAGGAGAGUGGAAUUCCACGUGUAGCGGUGAAAUGCGUAGAGAUGUGGAGGAACACCAGUGGCGAAGGCGACUCUCUGGUCUGUAACUGACGCUGAGGAGCGAAAGCGUGGGGAGCGAACAGGAUUAGAUACCCUGGUAGUCCACGCCGUAAACGUUGAGUGCUAAGUGUUAGGGGGUUUCCGCCCCUUAGUGCUGCAGCUAACGCAUUA
rnacentral:rRNA from 1 species